GGUUAUAGAUAUCCUGGUAAAAGCCCUGCAACGCCUGACUUUGGAUCAGGAGGUUGGAGGUUCGAGCCCUCCCCCGCCA
rnacentral:tRNA from 1 species